rnacentral:sRNA from 1 species
UCGGCCGGUGCGUUAACUGGACGAGGUGGCAGCGGAGAACAUCGCAGUUUUUCCAGUUUCCUGCGGUGGCCAACGAAACGGCAGCCGAGCUCCUGUCCCACCCACCGC